rnacentral:pre_miRNA from 1 species
GCUCCUUUGUGCUAUUGUUGUGUCAUUUGUGCAUAACAAUAGCACAAAGGAGCGU